rnacentral:rRNA from 1 species
UAUGUAGGCGGUUCGGAAAGUCAGGUGUGAAAGCCCGGGGCUCAACCCCGGAACUGCACCCGAUACUCCCGAACUGGAGUAAUGGAGGGGUAGCUGGAAUUCUCGGUGUAGCAGUGAAAUGCGUAGAUAUCGAGAGGAACACUCGUGGCGAAGGCGAGCUACUGGACAUUUACUGACGCUGAGAUACGAAGGCCAGGGUAGCGAAAG